rnacentral:rRNA from 1 species
AACGAACGUUGGCGGCGUGGAUUAGGCAUGCAAGUCGAACGAAUCCCCGGGAGCUUGCUCCCGGGGGGAAGUGGCGAAAGGGGCAGUAAGGCGUGGGUAACCUACCCCGGGGACCGGGAUAGCCGGCCCAACGGCCGGGUAAUACCGGGCGACGUAGCGGAGGGGCAUCUCUCUGCUACCAAAUGAAUUUCGCCCCGGGAGGGGCUCACGUGGUAUUAGCUUGUUGGUGGGGUAACGGCCCACCAAGGCGAAGAUGCCUAGCGGGUGUGAGAGCACGACCCGCGCCACUGGCACUGAGACACUGGCCAGACUCCUACGGGAGGCUGCAGUCGAGGAUCUUCGGCAAUGGGCGCAAGCCUGACCGAGCGACGCCGCGUGCGCGAUGAAGGCCUUCGGGUUGUAAAGCGCUGUCGAGGGGGAGGAAGCCGCAAGGUUGACCUAUCCCUGGAGGAAGCACGGGCUAAGUUCGUGCCAGCAGCCGCGGUAAAAC